rnacentral:rRNA from 1 species
GUACACACCGCCCGUCGCUUCUACCGAUUGAAUUAUCCGGUGAACUUUUUGGACUGCAGGGCCCGCCCACGCAGGAAGCCCAGUGAACCAUAUAAUUUAGAGGAAGAAGAAGUCGUAACAAGGUUUUUGUAGGUGAACCUGCAGAAGGAUCA